rnacentral:rRNA from 1 species
GUGCAUACCUAUAACAUAGUGUUAAUGCACCAGAUCCCAUUAGAGCUCCACAGUUAAGUGCGCUCGAGUUAGAGUAGUAUUGGGAUGGGUAACCGCCUAGGAAGUCCUAUUGUUUUACAUG